UACGGGGGGAGCGAACGUUGUUCGGAAUCACUGGGCGUAAAGGGCGUGUAGGCGGCUGAAUAAGUGGGAUGUUAAAUCCCCCGGCUCAACCGGGGACCUGCAUCUCAUACUGUUCAGCUCGAGCACAUCAGAGGAGACUGGAAUUCCCGGUGUAGCGGUGAAAUGCGUAGAUAUCUGGAGGAACACCGGUGGCGAAGGCGGCAUCCUGGACCGGCAUUGACGCUGAGGCGCGAAAGCCAGGGGAGCAAACGGG
rnacentral:rRNA from 1 species